rfam:Cricetulus griseus cell line CHO-K1, whole genome shotgun sequence.
GGUACCUUGGCUUUGUUGGUUAAAGUACCUGUCUAUUAAACAGGAGAUCCUGGUUUCAAACCCCAGCAGUGCCU